CCUACGGGAGGCAGCAGUAGGGAAUCUUCCGCAAUGGACGAAAGUCUGACGGAGCAAUGCCGCGUGAACGAUGAAGGCCUUCGGGUCGUAAAGUUCUGUUGUUAGGGAAGAACAAGUGCUAGUUAAAUAAGCUGGCACCUUGACGGUACCUAACCAGAAAGCCACGGCUAACUACGUGCCAGCAGCCGCGGUAAUACGUAGGUGGCAAGCGUUGUCCGGAAUUAUUGGGCGUAAAGCGCGCGCAGGCGGUUUCUUAAGUCUGAUGUGAAAGCCCCCGGCUCAACCGGGGAGGGUCAUUGGAAACUGGGAAACUUGAGUGCAGAAGAGGAAAGUGGAAUUCCAAGUGUAGCGGUGAAAUGCGUAGAGAUUUGGAGGAACACCAGUGGCGAAGGCGACUUUCUGGUCUGUAACUGACGCUGAGGCGCGAAAGCGUGGGGAGCAAACAGGAUUAGAUACCCUGGUAGUCCACGCUGUAAACGAUGAGUGCUAAGUGUUAGAGGGUUUCCGCCCUUUAGUGCUGAAGUUAACGCAUUAAGCACUCCGCCUGGGGAGUACGGUCGCAAGACUGAAACUUAAGGAAUUGACGG
rnacentral:rRNA from 1 species